AUGCCGGUGCACGCGGUUCAGUACGGCAAGGUGCUCCAGCUCGAGAUGCCCGUGUCCGAGCGGCGCCGCCUGCUGUUCGCGGAGGAGGACGACCGCGCGUUCCUCGUGGUCGGCGGCUCGCUCGGCCUGGGCGUGCUCAUCGCCUUGUCGGUGGUGUGCAUCAGGGCGGGGGCGUCCCCGCCGCCGCACUACGUGACCAAGGUGUGGGCGAACGGGCCGCCGUCGGCAGGCAACGACAGGACCGACACGGUCCGAACGGAAAUCCAGGUGACGAGCAGCAAGGAGCCCGGCACCGUCGCCGUGGAGGAGCUGACCUUCUUGACGGUGCCACACAAGCUGCUUGCUGGGGCUGGCCCGUCCAGGAGGGUGUCCCUCCAUGUUCGCAUUGACAAGAUCACCUCCUGA
rnacentral:rRNA from 1 species